rnacentral:rRNA from 1 species
ACGAACGCUGGUAGCGUGGAUUAGGCAUGCAAGUCGAACGGGAUCCGCAAGGUAGCAAUACUGAGCGGUGAGAGUGGCGGAUUGGGGAGGAACACGUGAGCAACCUGUCCUUGAGUCGGGGAAAACCGCGGGAAACUGCGGCUAAUACCGGAUGUGGCGUCCGACGACAUCGUCGGAGCGCUAAAGGGGGCCCGCAAGGGCUCUCGCUCUUCGAGGGGCUCGCGCACCAUCAGCUUGUUGGCGGGUAACGGCCCACCAAGGCGUACGGUUAGCUGGUCUGAGAGGAUGACCAGCCCCACUGGGACUGAGAUACUGCCCAGACUCCUACGGGAGGCUGCAGUCGAGGAUCAUUUGCAAUGGGCGAAAGCCUGACAAUGCGACGCUGCGUGGAGGAAUGAAGGCCUUCGGGUUGUAAACUCCUGUCAUAUGGGAACAGGCGAGGGGACCCAACACGUCCCUUAGUUGAGUGUACCUUAAGAGGAAUGGGCGGCUAACUCUGUGCCAGCCGCAGC